GUGCUUGCUUCGGCAGCANGAAUACUAAAACUGUAGUGAUACAAAGAAGAUUAGCAUGGCUNCGUGCAAGGAUGACAUGCAUAUUUGUGAUGCAUUCCAUAUUUUU
rnacentral:snRNA from 1 species